CUCAGCCCUAAACAUAGAUAGCAAACACACAAUGCUAUCCGCCAGAGAACUACAAGUGAAAAACUAGAAACUCCAAGGACUUGGCGGUGCUCCAUACCGGCCUAGAGGAGCCUGUCCUAUAAUCGAUAGUCCCCGCUAUACCCCACCACUCCUUGCAAUUCAGCCUAUAUACCGCCGUCGCCAGCCUACCUUAUGAAAGAAAUAAAGUAAGCACAAUAGUUAACAACUAAAACGUCAGGUCAAGGUGUAGCACAUGGAAUGGAAGAGAUGGGCUACACUUUCUAACAUAGAAAACACGGAUAGCCCCAUGAAACUGGGGCUAUAAAGGCGGAUUUAGCAGUAAGAUGGACAAGAAAGUUUAUCUGAAUCCCGCUCUGGAGCGCGCACACACCGCCCGUCACCCUCA
rnacentral:rRNA from 1 species